rnacentral:rRNA from 1 species
GAUGAACGCUGGCGGCGUGCCUAAUACAUGCAAGUCGAGCGAACGGACGAGAAGCUUGCUUCUCUGAUGUUAGCGGCGGACGGGUGAGUAACACGUGGAUAACCUACCUAUAAGACUGGGAUAACUUCGGGAAACCGGAGCUAAUACCGGAUAAUAUUUUGAACCGCAUGGUUCAAAAGUGAAAGACGGUCUUGCUGUCACUAAUAGAUGGAUCCGCGCUGCAUUAGCUAGUUGGUAAGGUAACGGCUUACCAAGGCAACGAUGCAUAGCCGACCUGAGAGGGUGAUCGGCCACACUGGAACUGAGACACGGUCCAGACUCCUACGGGAGGCAGCAGUAGGGAAUCUUGCGCAAUGGGCGAAAGCCUGACGGAGCAACGCCGCGUGAGUGAUGAAGGUCUUCGGAUCGUAAAGCUCUGUUAUUAGGGAAGAACAUAUGUGUAAGUAAAUGUGCACAUCUUGACGGUACCUAAUCAGAAAGCCACGGCUAACUACGUG